CUACGGGGGGCUCCAGUGGGGAAUAUUGCACAAUGGAGGAAACUCUGAUGCAGCAACGCCGCGUGGAGGAUGACACUUUUCGGAGCGUAAACUCCUUUUAUAUAGGAAGAAGAUGACGGUACUAUAUGAAUAAGCGCCGGCUAACUCCGUGCCAGCAGCCGCGGUAAUACGGUGGGCGCAAGCGUUACUCGGAAUCACUGGGCGUAAAGAGCGUGUAGGCGGAUUAAAAAGUCAGAAGUGAAAUCCUAUAGUUUAACUAUAGAACUGCUUCUGAAACUCUUAAUCUAGAAUAUGGGAGAGGUAGAUGGAAUUUCUGGUGUAGGGGUGAAAUCCGUAGAGAUCAGAAGGAAUACCGAUUGCGAAGGCGAUCUACUAGAACAUUAUUGACGCUGAGACGCGAAAGCGUGGGGAGCAAACAGGAUUAGAUACCCCGGUAGUC
rnacentral:rRNA from 1 species